rnacentral:rRNA from 1 species
UACGUAGGUGGCAAGCGUUGUCCGGAUUUAUUGGGUUUAAAGGGUGCGUAGGUGGUCUAUUAAGUCAGUGCUGAAAUAUCCCGGCUUAACCGGGAGGGUGGCAUUGAUACUGAUGGACUUGAGUAAAGUUGAGGUGGGCGGAAUUGACGGUGUAGCGGUGAAAUGCUUAGAUAUCGUCAAGAACACCUAUUGCGAAGGCAGUUCACUAAGCUUUAACUGACACUGAGGCACGAAAGUGUGGGGAUCAAACAGG